UACAGAGGUCCCGAGCGUUGUUCGGAUUCACUGGGCGUAAAGGGUGUGUAGGAGGUUCGAUAAGUCAGGUGUGAAAUCCCAUCGCUCAACGAUGGAACUGCAUUCGAUACUGUCGGACUAGAGGAUCGGAGGGGGAAGCGGAAUUCUUGGUGUAGCGGUGAAAUGCGUAGAUAUCAAGAGGAACACCGGUGGCGAAGGCGGCUUCCUGGAAGAUACCUGACUCUGAAACACGAAAGCUAGGGGAGCGAAUGGG
rnacentral:rRNA from 1 species